GAUGAACGCUGGCGGCGUGCCUAAUACAUGCAAGUCGAGCGAACAGACGAGGAGCUUGCUCCUCUGACGUUAGCGGCGGACGGGUGAGUAACACGUGGAUAACCUACCUAUAAGACUGGGAUAACUUCGGGAAACCGGAGCUAAUACCGGAUAAUAUAUUGAACCGCAUGGUUCAAUAGUGAAAGACGGUUUUGCUGUCACUUAUAGAUGGAUCCGCGCCGCAUUAGCUAGUUGGUAAGGUAACGGCUUACCAAGGCAACGAUGCGUAGCCGACCUGAGAGGGUGAUCGGCGACACUGGAACUGAGACACGGUCCAGACUCCUACGGGAGGCAGCAGUAGGGAAUCUUCGGCAAUGGGCGAAAGCCUGACGGAGCAACGCCGCGUGAGUGAUGAAGGUCUUCGGAUCGUAAAACUCUGUUAUUAGGGAAGAACAAAUGUGGAAGAAAAUAUGCACGUCUUGACGGUACCUAAUCAGUAAGCCACGGCUAACUACGUG
rnacentral:rRNA from 1 species